rnacentral:rRNA from 1 species
GGUGCAGCAGCUGAGAAUCUUCUGCAAUACACGAAAGUGUGACAGAGCGAGCCAGAGUGCUCCUCAUUGAGGAGCUUUUGCCAAAUCUAAAAAGUUUGGCGAAUAAGGACUGGGCAAGACUAGUGCCAGCCGCCGCGGUAAUACUAGCUGUCCAAGUCGCAGCCAUCUUUAUUGGGUCUAAAACAUCCGUAGCUUGUUCAAUAAGUUCUUUGUGAAAUCUUAUCUCUUAAGGAUAGGGCGCGCAUGGAGUACUGUUGGGCUAGAGACUGGAAGACGUAAGAAGUACGUUUGAAGUAGCGGUUAAAUGCGUUAAUCUUAGACGGACUCACAACAGCGAAGGCAUCUUACGAGGACAGUUCUGACAGUGAGGGAUGAAGGCCAGGGGCGCAAAACGGAUUAGAUACCCGUGUAGUCCUGGCAGUAAACACUGCACACUAAACAUCAGUACCUCUUCGAGAGGUAUUGGUGCUUGAGGGAAGCCGAAGAGUGUGCUACCUGGGAAGUAUAGUCGCAAGACCGAAACUUAAAGGAAUUGGCGGGGGAGCACACUC